rnacentral:rRNA from 1 species
AUUGAACGCUGGCGGCAGGCUUAACACAUGCAAGUCGAACGAGUGGCGGAAGGGUGAGUAAUGCUUGGGAAUCUAGCCUAUGGAGGGGGAUAACUAAGGGAAACUGUAGCUAUUACCGCGUAACAUAGGAUGAGCCCAAGGUGGAUUAGGGAGUUGGUGAGGUAAAGGCUCACCAAGCCGACGAUCUCUAGCAGGUCUGAGAGGAUUACCAGCCACCCUGGUACUGAGACCCGGCCCAGCCUCCUACGGGAGGCAGCAUUGUGGAAUAUUUCGCAAUGGGGGCAACCUGACGCAGCCAUGCCGCGUGAAUGAAGAAGGCCUUCGGGUUGUAAAGUUCUUUCGGUAGCGAGGCGUUAACUACAGAAGAAGCACCGGCUAACUCCGUGCCAGCAGCCGCGGUAAUUC